GACGAACGCUGGCGGCGCGCUUAACACAUGCAAGUCGAACGGAAAGGCCUGCUUUCCCUUGUGGAUUGCGGGUACUCGAGUGGCGAACGGGUGAGUAACACGUGAGUGAUCUGCCCCCAACUUGGGUAUAAGCCUGGGAAACUGGGUCUAAUUCCCGAUAGGACUGCAGGGUGGUGCCUGUGGUGGAAAACGAUUUUCUAGUGGUUGGGGAUGAGCUCGCGGCCUAUCAGCUUGUUGGUGGGGUAAUGGCCUACCAAGGCGGCGACGGGUAGCCGGCCUGAGAGGGUGGACGGCCACAUUGGGACGGAGAGACGGCCCAGACUCCUACGGGAGGCAGCAGUGGGGAAUAUUGCACAAUGGGCGGAAGCCUGAUGCAGCGACGCCGCGUGGGGGAUGACGGCCUUCGGGUUGUAAACUCCUUUCGACCGCGAGGAAGCCACCUGGUUGGAAGGGUGGUGACGGUAGUGGUAGAAGAAGCACCGGCUAACUACGU
rnacentral:rRNA from 1 species